UGGGGGGGGGGGGCGGGGGGAGGGGCCCUGAGCCCAGACCCCAGGACGGGACGGGCUCCCCUCCCCCGGGAAGCAGACCCUCCGCGUGUGAGCGUGCGGGGUGGGGAGAGCCGGCCAGGCCAGCCUCCUGCUUUACAGGGGGGAGACCGAGGCACAGGAGGGGGGGCUCAUCCACCGUCCCUCGUGUGCGGAAGAGUCCAUAGAAACAACCGCCCGACUGACUGAAGGUCUCUGCUGGGGCAGGCACAGUGCCCGGUGCUUUAUGAACGUCGCCUCCAGCAGGGCACUGUCCCCAUCGCCCAGACGAGGAAACAGAGGGCCAGAGAGAACCUGGUUCGCAACCCCAACCCGCUCCCCUCGGCCCAGGUCGAUCGAGGCCUCCGCUCAGAGCAGCUCCCAGCGCCAGGCCCUGAGGCCCGGCGCGCUCGAGGGCCCAGCAACGCCCAGGGACCCGACAGGAUGCCACCCAGCCUGUGAAAGGCAGAAACUCCACACCCAACGUGGGGCCUGAACCCACGACCCCAAGAUGAUGAGUCGCACGUUCCACUGACCCAGCCCGCCGGGCGCACCAUCCCCUUCCCCCCUCAGUCUCUGUUCAACGUCCAGGCUUCACACGCUUCACUGUUAAACAUCCCUUUUUUUUAAUUACUAUCAAAUGCAUAUGUUCCCGGAAAAAAAAAACACAAACAGAAGAAAAUAAAAACACUUCCAGCGUCAGCACCUGCAGCGCCCUGAAAA